rnacentral:rRNA from 1 species
UGGGGAAUAUUGGACAAUGGGCGAAAGCCUGAUCCAGCCAUGCCGCGUGUGUGAAGAAGGUCUUCGGAUUGUAAAGCACUUUAAGUUGGGAGGAAGGGCAGUAAGCGAAUACCUUGCUGUUUUGACGUUACCGACAGAAUAAGCACCGGCUAACUCUGUGCCAGCAGCCGCGGUAAUACAGAGGGUGCAAGCGUUAAUCGGAAUUACUGGGCGUAAAGCGCGCGUAGGUGGUUCGUUAAGUUGAAUGUGAAAGCCCCGGGCUCAACCUGGGAACUGCAUCCAAAACUGGCGGGCUAGAGUAGGGCAGAGGGUGGGGGAAUUUCCUGUGUAGCGGUGAAAUGCGUAGAUAUAGGAAGGAACACCAGUGGCGAAGGCGACCACCUGGGCUCAUACUGACACUGAGGUGCGAAAGCGUGGGGAGCAAACAGG